rnacentral:rRNA from 1 species
GAUGAACGCUGGCGGCGUGCCUAAUACAUGCAAGUCGAGCGAACAGACGAAGACCUAACUCUUCGCACGUUAUCACCGAACAGGUUAGUAAAACGUGGAUAACCGCCCUAUAAAACUGGCUUAGAUUCGGGAAUCCGGAGCGAAUACCGGGUAUUAUAUUGCACCACAUGGUACAAUAGUAAAAGACGGUUUUGCUAUCACUUAUAGAUAUAUCCGCGCCGCAUUAGCAAGUUUGUAAGGUAACGGCUUACGAAGGCAACGAUGCGUAGCAGACCUGAGAGCGUGAACGGGCAGACUGGAACAGAGACACGGCCGAGACUCCUACGGGGGGACGCAGUAGGGACUCCUCCGCGAGGGGGGAAAGCCUGACGGAGCAACGCCGCGGGAGUGAUGAAGGUGUGCGGAUCGUAGAACUCUGUAAGUAUUGAAGAACAAAUGUGUAAGUAACUAUGCACGUCUUGACGGUACCUAAGCAGAAAGCCACGGCUAACUACGUG